rnacentral:rRNA from 1 species
GACGAACGCUGGCGGCGUGCUUAACACAUGCAAGUCGAGCGGUAAGGCCCUUUCGGGGGUACACGAGCGGCGAACGGGUGAGUAACACGUGGGUGACCUGCCCUCAGCUCUGGGAUAAGCCUGGGAAGCCGGGUCUAAUACCGGAUAUGACUCCAUGACGCAUGUUGUGGGGUGGAAAGCCUUGUGCGGCUGAGGAUGGGCCCGCGGCCUAUCAGUUUGUUGGUGGGGUGAUGGCCUACCAAGGCGACGACGGGUAGCCGGCCUGAGAGGGCGACCGGCCACACUGGGACUGAGACACGGCCCAGACUCCUACGGGAGGCAGCAGUGGGGAAUCUUGCGCAAUGGGCGAAAGCCUGACGCAGCGACGCCGCGUGAGGGAUGACGGCCU